rnacentral:rRNA from 1 species
GACGAACGCUGGCGGCGUGCUUAACACAUGCAAGUCGAACGGAAAGGCCCUGCUUUUGUGGGGUGCUCGAGUGGCGAACGGGUGAGUAACAAGUGAGUAACCUGCCCUUGACUUUGGGAUAACUUCAGGAAACUGGGGCUAAUACCGGAUAGGAGCUCCUGCUGCACGGUGGGGGUUGGAAAGUUUCGGCGGUUGGGGAUGGACUCGCGGCUUAUCAGCUUGUUGGUGGGGUAGUGGCUUACCAAGGCUUUGACGGGUAGCCGGCCUGAGAGGGUGACCGGCCACGUUGGGACUGAGCUACGGCCCAAACUCCUACGAGGGGCAGCAGUGGAGAAUAUUACAGAAUAGGCGGAAGCCUGAUGCAGCAACGCCGCGUACGGAUUAACGGCCUUCGGAUUGUAAUCCGCUUUCGCCUGUGACGAAGCGUGAGUGACGGUAAUGGGUAAAGAAGCACCGGCUAGCUACGUG